UCUGAAGAAUGAUCAAACAAAAGUCCUGGCUUCUGGGGUUCUCUAUUCUCUGGGUUUGAGGAGCCCUACUGUGUGGUUUUUCCAGCAAUCAGCAAGCUGUUCCUGCUGGCCCUGUCUUCUCCCUGAGAGCUAGGGCCUGGCCUUCCAUUUCCUGGCUGUUGAAAGCUUAAAGGCCGUGGACACAGCUGAGAGAUGGCAAGCCGCCACAGCCAGGAAUGGCUUUCAGAUAUCAUCACCCAGGCUGGAUUAGAUCAUGAAAAAGGCCCUUCCUGGAACAGGGUGGAAGCUCGAUCAGUGCAGACACAUGAUCUGCAGGCAACAGGUGAGGGUUCUGUGUCCCCACUGCCAGAUGAUUCCGGACGGAGCACCCUGCUUGUGAUGAAUCCACGGAUGGACAAACCGAAUGAGAAACUCCUCCCAGAUAGUGUUGGGCUGUUCUCUCAGUAAACUCUUAUCCUUUCCAUAAUGCUUUGCUUUUCAUAAAAACCCAUACAUACAGCACCACCACAAGGAAAAGGUUCCUUUUAUAUCAGUUACUCAUAUUUUCCCAUUUAUUUAAGCUAUUAAAAUUCAUGCAGAUAUUUUAUAAGCCAUCAGGAUUUGGUGACUGGUAUUACUGAAUGUUUAAUAAUAAACUAAACAGAAGAAAUCAGAGGGUUAAAUGAUGACUGCAAUUCCUGUAAUGACUUAAUUAAAUUUUUAUUGAGUACAUAAACUAUGAUGUCAUUUCUAGCC